rnacentral:rRNA from 1 species
UACGUAGGUCGCAAGCGUUGUCCGGAUUUACUGGGCGUAAAGAGCGCGCAGGCGGCUGGUCAAGUCCGAUGUGAAAGCUCCCGGCUUAACUGGGAAACUGCAUCGGAAACUGGUCGGCUUGAAGGUGGGAGAGGGUAGCGGAAUUCCCGGUGUAGUGGUGAAAUGCGUAGAUAUCGGGAGGAACACCAGUGGCGAAGGCGGCUACCUGGCCCAUUCUUGACGCUGAGGCGCGAAGGCGUGGGGAGCGAACGGG